GAGUUCUGUGCCACAAAUGGGUAACAUGGAACUUUGUCUUAGUGUAGCAAAUGCUUGUGAUGGUGAUGUACAGACCCUUGAAAAGAUUGACCCCAACAACACAAGUACACAUCCCACGGUGGUCUCAAACACAAUCCUGGCACACCAAGAACAAUGUAAUGCAUUGCAACCCUCAUCCAAUCCAUUACCUUCAUCAUUGCCACAGACAGAUCAUGUGGAAGAGACCAGUUAGAAGAAAAUUGCAUAA